UAGCGACAGGCUUAACACAUGCAAGUCGAGGGGCAGCACAGGUAGCAAUACCGGGUGGCGACCGGCGCACGGGUGAGUAACGCGUAUGCAACUUACCUAUCAGAGGGGGAUAACCCGGCGAAAGUCGGACUAAUACCGCAUGAAGCAGGGGCCCCGCAUGGGGAUAUUUGCUAAAGAUUCAUCGCUGAUAGAUAGGCAUGCGUUCCAUUAGGCAGUUGGCGGGGUAACGGCCCACCAAACCGACGAUGGAUAGGGGUUCUGAGAGGAAGGUCCCCCACAUUGGUACUGAGACACGGACCAAACUCCUACGGGAGGCAGCAGUGAGGAAUAUUGGUCAAUGGCCGAGAGGCUGAACCAGCCAAGUCGCGUGAGGGAUGAAGGUUCUAUGGAUCGUAAACCUCUUUUAUAAGGGAAUAAAGUGCGGGACGUGUCCCGUUUUGUAUGUACCUUAUGAAUAAGGAUCGGCUAACUCCGUGCCAGCAGCCGCGGUAAUACGGAGGAUCCGAGCGUUAUCCGGAUUUAUUGGGUUUAAAGGGUGCGUAGGCGGCCUUUUAAGUCAGCGGUGAAAGUCUGUGGCUCAACCAUAGAAUUGCCGUUGAAACUGGGGGGCUUGAGUAUGUUUGAGGCAGGCGGAAUGCGUGGUGUAGCGGUGAAAUGCAUAGAUAUCACGCAGAACCCCGAUUGCGAAGGCAGCCUGCCAAGCCAUUACUGACGCUGAUGCACGAAAGCGUGGGGAUCAAACAGGAUUAGAUACCCUGGUAGUCCACGCAGUAAACGAUGAUCACUAGCUGUUUGCGAUACACUGUAAGCGGCACAGCGAAAGCGUUAAGUGAUCCACCUGGGGAGUACGCCGGCAACGGUGAAACUCAAAGGAAUUGACGGGGGCCCGCACAAGCGGAGGAACAUGUGGUUUAAUUCGAUGAUACGCGAGGAACCUUACCCGGGUUUGAACGCAUUCGGACCGAGGUGGAAACACCUUUUCUAGCAAUAGCCGUUUGCGAGGUGCUGCAUGGUUGUCGUCAGCUCGUGCCGUGAGGUGUCGGCUUAAGUGCCAUAACGAGCGCAACCCUUGCCACUAGUUACUAACAGGUAAAGCUGAGGACUCUGGUGGGACUGCCAGCGUAAGCUGCGAGGAAGGCGGGGAUGACGUCAAAUCAGCACGGCCCUUACAUCCGGGGCGACACACGUGUUACAAUGGCGUGGACAAAGGGAAGCCACCUGGCGACAGGGAGCGAAUCCCCAAACCACGUCUCAGUUCGGAUCGGAGUCUGCAACCCGACUCCGUGAAGCUGGAUUCGCUAGUAAUCGGGCAUCAGCCAUGGCGCGGUGAAUACGUUCCCGGGCCUUGUACACACCGCCCGUCAAGCCAUGGGAGCCGGGGGUAC
rnacentral:rRNA from 1 species